GAUGAACGCUAGCUACAGGCUUAACACAUGCAAGUCGAGGGGAAACGAUAUUGGAAGCUUUGCUUCCGAUAGGCGUCGACCGGCGCACGGGUGAGUAACGCGUAUCCAACCUGCCCGUCACUUGGGGAAUAACCUUGCGAAAGUAAGACUAAUGCCCAAUGACAUUUAUAGAAGGCAUCUGAAAUGAAUUAAAGAUUUAUCGGUGAUGGAUGGGGAUGCGUCUGAUUAGCUUGUUGGCGGGGUAACGGCCCACCAAGGCGACGAUCAGUAGGGGUUCUGAGAGGAAGGUCCCCCCACAUUGGGAACUGAGACACGGGUCCAAACUCCUACGGGAGCAGCAGUGAGGAAUAUUGGGUCAAUGGGCAGAGCCUGAACCAGCCAAGUAGCGUGCA
rnacentral:rRNA from 1 species